UACGUAGGGUGCAAGCGGUGUCCGGAAUUAUUGGGCGUAAAGAGCUCGUAGGCGGUUUGUCGCGUCUGCUGUGAAAUCCCAGGGCUUAACCCUGGGCCUGCAGUGGGUACGGGCAAACUAGAGUGCGGUAGGGGAGAUCGGAAUUCCUGGUGUAGCGGUGAAAUGCGCAGAUAUCAGGAGGAACACCGGUGGCGAAGGCGGAUCUCUGGGCCGUAACUGACGCUGAGGAGCGAAAGCAUGGGUAGCGAACAGG
rnacentral:rRNA from 1 species